UCAGAUUCUUCCCAUGCUGAAUAAGGUGGAGGGCCAUCAGUCAGUCCAGGCAGAGGACUGAUUCACAAGGAAUGUCAAGCUCCGUGGAUCCAAUCCUGCGGUUGUGUCAGCGUUCAUGUGUAGCUCAGCUAGCGAGAUGACAGAGAGAACAACCUUUACAUCAUCAAAUAAUGAACAUCCAUGGAGAAGACAUCUGUUUUUCCCCAUGUGCAAAGAAAUCUGAAAAUACAUAGUGUAUAUAUAUAUAGAGAGAGAGAGAGAGUGUAAGACUACUUUGUCCAUAUCACCCACACUUAAUAUUUAAUUCACUAUUGUGAUGUGGUAGGUGAAAUAGCGCCUUUGUAGGUCAUUGAGGUUGUGUUUUUAUGGUUUUUAUUCAGUUGUCUCAGUAACAGACAAGAGAAUAAAUGUCAGCAGGCCAACCAUUUUUUUUAAUCAAAUGAGUGCAAUUGUGUAUAAUUACUAAUUGCACUGACGUCCACAGAUCAAUGUUAACAUUUCUGAGGUGUCAGAUACGUGUAAAUAGUUUCAU